CACCACUCCUGCUGCCCACACUCCACCGCCUGCCUGCAGGCUGGGUUAAAGACUCAUCCAUCAAGUGCUGGCUCAGGACCAUGCCGGGGCAAAUGGCACUGCUUUUCUGGAUCCCAUGGCAGCGAUGGGCAAAGGAACAGGGAGACCCAGUGGAGUCGUAGCGUGCGCUGGAGAGUGUUCUUCAGGAAGGUGACAGCCGAUUGCAGAGCAACGCUGAGACGCACCUGACAGCAAAGGUGCCCGGUGGCCACGGACGAGCCUAGGAAGCAUGGCAUGCACCAAGCACACCCAGAGCUGCGCCCGUGCCAGGAGAAGACUUCAAGCACAGGCGGGGCUGAUGGCAACAGUUCCCACCAGCUGUCCAGCUCCAGAAGAUGCAGAAAGGAAAUUCAGUCUUAGACAUUCAGUUGCAGAAGAAAGU